rnacentral:rRNA from 1 species
AUGGGGGGAUAACCAAUCGAAAGAUUGGCUAAUACCGCAUACGCUCCGAGGAGGAAAGCAGGGGACCUUCGGGCCUUGCGUUAUUCGAGCGGCCAAUAUCUGAUUAGCUAGUUGGUGGGGUAAAGGCCUACCAAGGCGACGAUCAGUAGCGGGUCUGAGAGGAUGAUCCGCCACACUGGGACUGAGACACGGCCCAG